rnacentral:rRNA from 1 species
UCUUGGACAAUGGGCGCAAGCCUGAUCCAGCCAUGCCGCGUGGAUGAUGAAGGCCCUAGGGUUGUAAAAUCCUUUCGUUGGGGACGAUAAUGACGGUACCCAAAGAAGAAGCUCCGGCUAACUUCGUGCCAGCAGCCGCGGUAAUACGAAGGGGGCUAGCGUUGUUCGGAUUUACUGGGCGUAAAGCGCGUGUAGGCGGACUUGUAAGUUGGGGGUGAAAUCCCGAGGCUCAACCUCGGAACUGCCUCCAAAACUACAAGUCUGGAGCAAGAUAGAGGCAAGUGGAAUUGCGAGUGUAGAGGUGAAAUUCGUAGAUAUUCGCAGGAACACCAGUGGCGAAGGCGACUUGCUGGAUCUUUGCUGACGCUGAGACGCGAAAGCGUGGGGAGCAAACAGG